AGCGAACGCUGGCGGCAGGCCUAACACAUGCAAGUCGAACGAACUCUUCGGAGUUAGUGGCGGACGGGUGAGUAACACGUGGGAACGUGCCUUUAGGUUCGGAAUAACUCAGGGAAACUUGUGCUAAUACCGAAUGUGCCCUUCGGGGGAAAGAUUUAUCGCCUUUAGAGCGGCCCGCGUCUGAUUAGCUAGUUGGUGAGGUAAAGGCUCACCAAGGCGACGAUCAGUAGCUGGUCUGAGAGGAUGAUCAGCCACAUUGGGACUGAGACACGGCCCAAACUCCGACGGGAGGCAGCAGUGGGGAAUCUUGCGCAAUGGGCGAAAGCCUGACGCAGCCAUGCCGCGUGAAUGAUGAAGGUCUUAGGAUUGUAAAAUUCUUUCACCGGGGACGAUAAUGACGGUACCCGGAGAAUAAGCACCGGCUAACUUCGUGCCAGCAGCCGCCGUAA
rnacentral:rRNA from 1 species